rnacentral:rRNA from 1 species
UAGGGAAUUUUCCGCAAUGGGGGGAACCCUGACGGAGCAACGCCGCGUGAGUGAGGACGGCCUUCGGGUUGUAAAGCUCUGUAAACGGGGAAGAAAAAAAUGACGGUACCCGUGAAGUAAGCCCCGGCUAACUACGUGCCAGCAGCCGCGGUAAUACGUAGGGGGCAAGCGUUGUCCGGAAUUAUUGGGCGUAAAGGGCGCGCAGGCGGUAGAUUAAGUCAGGUGUGAAAGGCUGGGGCUCAACCCCAGAGCUGCACCUGAAACUGAACUACUUGAGAGCAGGAGAGGGGAAUGGAAUUCCCGGUGUAGCGGUGGAAUGCGUAGAUAUCGGGAGGAACACCAGUGGCGAAGGCGAUUCCCUGGCCUGGGACUGACGCUGAGGCGCGAAAGCGUGGGGAGCAAACAGGAUUAGAUACCCCCGUAGUCC